rnacentral:rRNA from 1 species
CACACGGUAAACGAUGGAUACUAGGUGUAACCGGCUUCGACCCCGGUUGUGCCGCAGCUAACGCAUUAAGUAUCCCGCCUGGGGAGUAUGGCCGCAAGGUUGAAACUCAAAGGAAUUGACGGGGGCCCGCACAAGCGGUGGAGGAUGUGGUUUAAUUCGACGCAACGCGAAGAACCUUACCAAGACUUGACAUCCACAGAAUCUGGUAGAAAUAUCGGAGUGUCCGCAAGGAAACUGUGAGACAGGUGG